rnacentral:rRNA from 1 species
GAUGAACGCUGGCGGCGUGCUUAACACAUGCAAGUCGAACGGAAAGGUCAUGCUCUUGUGGGGUGCACGUGUGGCGCACGGGUGAGUAACACGCGAGUAUCCUGCACUUGUCUUUGGGAUAACUUCUGGAAAAUGGGGCUAAUAUACGAUAGGAGCUCUUGCAGCACGGUGGGCGUUGGUAAGUUGCGGCGGUUGGGGAUGGAAUCGCAGCUUAUCCGCUUGUUGGUCGGGUAGUGGCUUACAAAGGCUUUGACGGGUAGCCGGCCUGGGAGGGUUGCCGGGGACAAGGGGACUGAGGGACGGCGCAGUCUGCAACGGGAGGCAGCAGGGGAGAGUAUUGCACAAUGGGCGGAAGCGUGAUGCAGCAGCGCCGCGUGCGGGAUGACGGCCUAUUGGUUAUGAACCGCUUUCGCCUUAGACGAAGCGGGAGUGACGGUAAUGAAUAAGGAAGCACCGGCUAACUACGUG